rnacentral:lncRNA from 1 species
GUGGAUGUGGACCUGCGCCGCGUAUCCCAGCCUGGGUAUGACAAAUUGCUAGUCCAUCUGGGAAUGAGUAGGGGCCCAGCUUCCCUCUUCCUGUCUCCUCCAUGCCCCUGGGUCUGAGGCCCUCCAUGGCUCACUUUAAACUCAGAAGAAUAGUGGUUAAGCCAGGCCAGGCUUAAAGGGGGCUUCCAGUGGUGACAAAAUACAUGUCUAGGCCAAAGAUCUCAAGACCCAUGUGUCUGGCAGUCAAGGCUCCCAACCAGCCCCACUGCCAACAUUCUCCAUGUGCCUCAGUGGGUUGUCCCCUGUCUUGAACCCAUGUUCUAUGCCAGCACUUCCCCCCAGCCAGGUACACUGCUCUCAUGCAGAGCCUCCCUAUCUAGAACCUCCCUGUUCAUCUCUGUCCUAGAGACUGGGUCUGCCCAGGGAAAGCUUUUUAAACACUUGUCAUGAACCCCUCUGCCCCCAGCCUACCCAGGGCUCCCCAAUAGCCUAGACCUUCUGAGGAAAGGGCAGAUGUAGAUUCUAUUGUUAUGGGUUGAGUUCUGCCCCCAACUCCCCUGCCCCCCGCCAAAAAAAAUUCUAACUCCACUAUCUAGAAUGUGACUAUUGGGAGAUAACGCCUUUCCAUAUAUAAUCAAGAUAAAAUUAGGCUGGGUCCUAAUCCAAAGUGACUGUUGUCCUUAUCUGAAAAGAAAUUUGGAUACCGCAUACACUGCAUGAAGUUCUGCUAUACCAGAAUAAGCAGGGAGUAUACCAGAAGCUGAGAGAAAGACCUGGAUCAUAGCUUCCUUAGAGUGUUCAGAGAGAGUAUAGAUCUGCUGCCUCUUCAUCUCAGACUUCCAACCUCCAGAGCUGUGAGACAACAGAUUAUUAUUUAAGCCAUUCUGUCAUAUUUUGUCAUGUCAGCCCUAGCAGACUAAAAUAACUGUGAUCCUUACUUUGUAGGUGGAGAAAUAGGUUUGAGGCUUAAAGGGGGCUUCUUAAUAGUCCUCUACUUAAUAGUCCUCCACUUCCCAGAGAGGUGGGAAGGCACAGCCAUGAGGCCAGGAUGGACAGGACAAGGACUGGUGGCACCUCAGGGGGCACAUACCUCUGUAGGCCAAUGGCCAACCCACAAAGUUCUCACCACAAUGCCUUGCACCCCUCUCACCUUCACUUUAUGUGCCCAGGCCCUUUCCAUUUCUCAUAGUCAUAAUUCUUGCCUGAGGGGCUUUACAUUCACUAUCCCCUGUGCCUGAAAAAUCCCUCUUGUAGACAUCCAAACCAUGCCAUCCUUUACUUUCCACAGGUCUUUGCUGAAGUCUCUGGGGGUGGGGGGAAGGUACAGGUACCUGUUUACAGUUAGUUGUAUUCUUUUUUUUUUUUUUGGUAUCUUAGACACCAGGUAUAGCUCAGUGAUAGAUUGCUUGCAUCGCAUGUACAAGGUCUAAGUUCAAUCCAGCACUGUAAAAAUAAAUAAAGUUGCAAUUUUCCCUGUUAGUUCC